rnacentral:piRNA from 1 species
UAGGAGCUUGUGUCAUGUUUCUUGUUGGA